rnacentral:rRNA from 1 species
UGCUCCCUAGAUGUUAGCGGCGGACGGGAGAGUAACACGUGGGUAACCUGCCUGUAAGACUGGGAUAACUCCGGGAAACCGGGGCUAAUACCGGAUGGUUGUUUGAACCGCAUGGUUCAAACAUAAAAGGUGGCUUCGGCUACCACUUACAGAUGGACCCGCGGCGCAUUAGCUAGUUGGUGAGGUAACGGCUCACCAAGGCAACGAUGCGUAGCCGACCUGAGAGGGUGAUCGGCCACACUGGGACUGAGACACGGCCCAGACUCCUACGGGAGGCAGCAGUAGGGAAUCUUCCGCAAUGGACGAAAGUCUGACGGAGCAACGCCGCGUGAGUGAUGAAGGUUUUCGGAUCGUAAAGCUCUGUUGUUAGGGAAGAACAAGUACCGUUCGAAUAGGGCGGUACCUUGACGGUACCUAACCAGAAAGCCACGGCUAACUACGUGCCAGCAGCCGCGGUAAUACGUAGGUGGCAAGCGUUGUCCGGAAUUAUUGGGCGUAAAGGGCUCGCAGGCGGUUUCUUAAGUCUGAUGUGAAAGCCCCCGGCUCAACCGGGGAGGGUCAUUGGAAACUGGGGAACUUGAGUGCAGAAGAGGAGAGUGGAAUUCCACGUGUAGCGGUGAAAUGCGUAGAGAUGUGGAGGAACACCAGUGGCGAAGGCGACUCUCUGGUCUGUAACUGACGCUGAGGAGCGAAAGCGUGGGGAGCGAACAGGAUUAGAUACCCUGGUAGUCCACGCCGUAAACGAUGAGUGCUAAGUGUUAGGGGGUUUCCGCCCCUUAGUGCUGCAGCUAACGCAUUAAGCACUCCGCCUGGGGAGUACGGUCGCAAGACUGAAACUCAAAGGAAUUGACGGGGGCCCGCACAAGCGGUGGAGCAUGUGGUUUAAUUCGAAG